rnacentral:rRNA from 1 species
GAUGAACGCUGGCGGCGUGCCUAAUACAUGCAAGUCGAGCGAACGGACGAGAAGCUUGCUUCUCUGAUGUUAGUGGCGGACGGGUGAGUAACACGUGGAUAACCUACCUAUAAGACUGGGAUAACUUCGGGAAACCGGAGCUAAUACCGGAUGAUAUUUUGAACCGCAUGGUUCAAAAGUGAAAGACGGUCUUGCUGUCACUUAUAGAUGGAUCCGCGCUGCAUUAGCUAGUUGGUAAGGUAACGGCUUACCAAGGCAACGAUGCAUAGCCGUCCUGAGAGGGUGAUCGGCCACACUGGAACUGAGACACGGUCCAGACUCCUACGGGAGGCAGCAGUAGGGAAUCUUCCGCAAUGGGCGAAAGCCUGACGGAGCAACGCCGCGUGAGUGAUGAAGGUCUUCGGAUCGUAAAACUCUGUUAUUAGGGAAGAACAUAUGUGUAAGUAACUGUGCACAUCUUGACGGUACCUAAUCAGAAAGCCACGGCUAACUACGUG